rnacentral:tRNA from 1 species
GUAAUAGAAGCUAAAAAUCUAGCGUCGGCCUUGUAAGCCGAAUAGUAAAGAGAUAUCUUUUUAUUACU